CGACUAAACUCCAGGGUUUUCAUUUGUGGCCACCGGAAUCUUCUAAAAAUCACUAAACUGCUCUCUUUCUCUCUUUUUAAACUCAAACAAACAACAUCUGUGCAUCUUCCUGAUUCCACAUCUCAGUGCCAUGAAAAUAUGUGUAUAUUUUCAAGCACUGCAGCACAGUUAGGUGUGCCCACUUCCUCAUUUCAGCCUUACUACACACACACACACACACACACAUACACAUAUAUAUACACACUAAACCCUGCGACUGAAUAAAUUGCAGCGGUCUGCCAGAUCCCUUACCGCAAAUCACUAGAGAGAGCGAGAGAUAGAUAACGAAGGAGAGACGCUGGCCGCGUUUUCCCUCGUCUGCAAUAAGUUCCUUUGUCAGCCAACACGGAGCUAAAAAUGGCUCCAUGUGAACGAGAGGUGAAAGGCAGCCAGUGAGUCAUCUUAACGUGUGCUCGUAUCGCCAUGAAGGAGCGUCAGACCGUGUUCUUAAAGGCAAACACACAUGGAGACUUACUUGUGCUGCUUGUAUCCCCAAAUAAUCUGGACAAUGACCUCGAGAAAGACGCGGAUUUCUCCAGCAUGGCGGCAAUUUGACAAGACCGAAAUCAUGGACUCUCUUCCCCCUGAACAAUUCAUUGCCUAUGCGUGUACCUGAGGCAGGGCUUGGACCACCGUAUCCAGCAGGGCUCUCAUUCCCGUGGCCAUCUUCAGCAGCUUGAGGACUGUGUGAGGAGGGAGUCUCUUUUAUACUCUCAUGAUCCUGAUGAUGGUGGGGUUGAUGGGCAGGGCGGCGCUGAUCUCGAUCUCCUCCAAUGUGAUGCCCAUGACAGACAGCAGCACGAUGGCGAGAUCCAGUUGGUUCCACCUGGCACAAGCAAACACAAAUGUUAGGGUAAUGGUUUUAUUGCAUUUGAACAUGCAUCAGAUUACAAUUG